UUGCGGGCAUUUUUCUCUGUCACUCUAAUUACGCCUAACAAGGAAGGGUACCCAACUGUCCGACUCCGAUUUGAUUUAUUUUGAUAUAUGUUAUAGAGAAGUCUAAAAUAACAGACACGUAUUUUUUUUAGCUGCCCAAACUCAACCUGUUAGGAGAAAAUGGCCUUCAAAGUACU